rnacentral:rRNA from 1 species
GAUGAACGCUAGCGGCAGGCCUAAUACAUGCAAGUCGAACGCUCAGUAGCAAUACUGGGAGUGGCGCACGGGUGCGUAACGCGUACACAAUCUACCUCUAAGCGGGGGACACCUCCUGGAAACGGGGAUUAAUACCGCAUAAUAUGCCGAAGUCGCAUGACUUUGGUAUUAAAGCAGCAAUGCACUUAGAGAUGAGUGUGCGUCCCAUUAGGUAGUUGGUGAGGUAACGGCUCACCAAGCCUAUGAUGGGUAGCCGGUCUGAGAGGAUGGUCGGCCACACGGGCACUGAGACACGGGCCCGACUCCUACGGGAGGCAGCAGUAAGGAAUAUUGGUCAAUGGUGGAAACACUGAACCAGCCAUGCCGCGUGGAGGAAUAAGGUCCUA